rnacentral:rRNA from 1 species
GUGUCAGCAGCCGCGGUAAGACGGAGGGGGCAAGCGUUGUCCGGAAUUACUGGGCGUAAAGCGCUCGUAGGCGGUCGCGUACGGCGGUGGUGAAAGCUCCCGGCUCAACUGGGAGAGGCCCGCCGCAACGGCGUGACUCGAGGGUGGUAGAGGCAGAUGGAAUUCCAGGUGUAGCGGUGAAAUGCGUAGAGAUCUGGAGGAACACCCGUGGCGAAGGCGAUCUGCUGGGCCAUGCCUGACGCUGAGGAGCGAAAGCUAGGGGAGCGAACGGGAUUAGAAACCCCCGUAGUCC